rnacentral:tRNA from 1 species
AAGUGUAGCUUAGUUAGGCAAAGCAUCGGUCUCCAAAACCGAAGAUCGAAGGUUCAAAUCCUUCCACUUC